rnacentral:rRNA from 1 species
GAGUUUGAUCCUGGCUCAGGAUGAACGCCGGCGGUGUGCCUAAUACAUGCAAGUCGUACGCACUGGCCCAACUGAUUGAUGGUGCUUGCACCUGAUUGACGAUGGAUCACCAGUGAGUGGCGGACGGGUGAGUAACACGUAGGUAACCUGCCCCGGAGCGGGGGAUAACAUUUGGAAACAGAUGCUAAUACCGCAAUAAACAAACAAAAGCCACAUGGACUUUUAGUUAAAAAGUGGCUUUGGCUAUCACUCUGGGAUGGACCUGC